rnacentral:SRP_RNA from 2 species
GCCGGGUGCAGUGGUGCAGGCCUGUAGUUCCAGCUACUCAAGAGGCUGAAGUAAGAGGAUCACUGGAGCCCAGGGGUUCUGGGCUGUACUGUGCUAUGCUGAUCAGGUGUCCACACUUAGCUCGCCAUCAAUAUGAUGACCUCCCAGGUGGGAAAUGGAGCAGGUGAAAACUCCCAUGCUGAUCAGUAGUGGGAUCAUGUCUGUGAAUAAUCACUGCACUCCAACUGGGAAACAUAGCAAGACCCCAUCUCUA